AUGUAAUGUGAAACACCUCUGCAUUGAAAUAAGUGUAACAAAUGAAUGUCAACUAAGUUGUUUUCUAAGAUUACUAUAUAUUGUUAUUGACCCGUAUUUAAUUUCCAGUGGUUAAAUUCUGUAUUUUAGAUCAAAGUAUCAGUCUUAUGCUGUGUCUUGAGGGGUGUUGGAUUGUAUGAGGUGAGAACUGCAAUAAUCUGAAGCUGGACAUGGUGUUUUAGUAAAUGCAGGUGAGAGUUCAACCACGUGCUCCAGUUAUUCUGGGCAACAAGGUCAUUUAGUCAUACCACCAGUCACACCACACCUGCCCUCACUUAUCAUUGCCGCAGCAAGUCUGGAGAUAUGCCAGAAAUAUUAACAAGGCUACAAUAUCAAAAUUGUACAUAGCAACAACUAUAUAUAGGCCAGACUUGUCUAUGAAAUUGGGUCCUGCUUGUGACAUCUCUAUUUUUUUUGUUGCUUUAAUAAAAAAUAAAAAAAUUACAUUCAAAAUAUUUUUGUUUAUUUAAAAAAAAAAAAGUACAUACAGGAAAACUGUACAAUUACAUUAAUCAACAGCAGACUGAACACAGCAGUGCAGAUCACCUCAAGAUAAAAACGUAGUAUUCAAUAUCUUUAAAUAUUAGCACUUCAAGUACUGGUGGGUAAUAACAUUCAAUCUGGAUAACGACACAAAACAAAUCAUAUGGCUAGAGAAAUGUAUCGACAAAUAUUACGAAAACAAGCAAAACCCAAACAUGACGGAGAUUAAACAAGGAGAACCAAUCUCCAAAAGAAAACGUGAGUCCUCGAUGGAUACAGGCGACUUAAGCUUUUCACCACCGGGAAUCUGUUAAAAUCAAUAAAUGACAAACUGGGAAUACUUGAACUAGUCAGUAAAGAUAUAAAAGAAUUGUAGGCGAGCCUCAAGAUGAGUGACGAAAAAGAUGCGACAAUAGAGAAACAAACAAACAAGCUAAAAAGGGACAGUCAAGAAGAUUGAAAUGGACGUUAAUGAACUUAAAAAGGAGAACACCUUUCAUCUUUCUGAGAAAAGCCUAACGGCUCGUGUUCACUAGCACACGGUAUAUUUCCCAGAGUGGCUCGGUUGUGGGCGUGCUGGCAGCAUAUAGCAGCAUGUUUGAUUGUGCGUCAAGAAUUCAGCAUAGCAAGUUUGUAUGAAGGUCUGGGUAUUAAAUGGGUAAAUAGUUUAAUCCUUUCUCAAUUUCAGGAAUUUAUUCACAGGUAAAUAAUAAUAUGCUGUAAAACAUUCUGGUGACAAACACACUUUGUUGCCCUGUUUCCAAUCGUCCACAUGGCUGAAUCGUCCACAUGGCUGGGAGAACCUAUUCAAGCAAGUCUUUGGUCCUCAGAUACAGAGAGCUGUGAAAGCCUGUCUGCAGAUGAAGAGGUCCCAAUGAAGAGCAGUGGUUCUUAGUCCUGGGGACUCAAAGAGAUACCUUUUAACUGGAGAUCCCUUCAAAAAGAUUGCCAACAGUUACCGUGUAGAGCACUGCCAGAUUGGGUGACCAGGGCCAUCUCGGACUGCCUCCUGGGGAAUUCAGGCGUGUGAAGGCUACCUGUGUCCUGCAUAACUUCAUACGAAUGGACACGAGGACCAGGAGGGGAUCUGCAGCUCGCCGCCGUGUGCCAGAGGAGAAGUCUGCUGCUCUGCAGGAUGUUUCAAGGAUGGUGUCCAACAACGCAGGAAGAGAGGCAAUCUGUGUGCGGGAGAUUUUCACCUCCUACUUCUUUGAAGAGGGUGCUGUUCCCUGGGAACACCAUACACUACACUAUGCACAACCAAAGGCUCUUCCAUUUACUUAGCUAUGUCAACUGCAGUUAUUCAAUUCCCAGUUUCUUUCCCAGUUUGAUUUCUGCUUCUCGGGUGAGGGUACUGUUUAGGUAAUGGUGUGAUGUCUGUACAAAAACAAAACAGUCUAUUUUAAGUCCCUGUUGGGGUUUGUUUCCUUAUUCCUUGUCAAUCAUUGGCUCAUUGGUGAAAUUAGCAUUUUGACAAUAUCUUUGUCAUGUAUUGUCAUAUUAUGUCUUGUUCCUGUUCUUUCUCUUCACUCCGUCUCCCUCUGCUGGUCGUAUUAGCUUCCCCUCCUUCCCCCAG